UAGAGCUCCCAGCCACAGUGUGUCUGGUGACCCACGGGGACCAUGAUGAAAAUUCAUCUUCCAGAAGGUCCCAGAGCAGCGUCCACACCCCUGAAAAGACCAAGAUGUAAGGUGUCUGCUGUUUAUUCCAGCUUCCACCUCAGUGACAGUGCAAGCUCAGUGAACUGUUCAAGGUAAAAAAAAAAUUAAAACAUUUCAGAAUUUUUAAGAUAUUAACAAUUAAAUAAGUAUGUGAUUACAUCAUGACAUCAUGAAGGAGGCUACUGAUUCUGCCCCUGUGACACUUGGUGGUGACGUGUGAGCUGAUUCACCUGGACACUCAGCAAAAUAUGGACUCUACACCAUGAGGCAGGCACACGUUAAUAACUCUAUAAGAGCACAUAAGCCUGGCUGAUCACCUGAUACCUCCUGUCAUCUGGUUAUGACAGCAUGAGGAUGUCCUCACACACCUGUAACCUAUCAGCUCAUCUGGCAGAAUAGAGAGAGAAGAGACAACACCACAUCUCCUGUUCCUGGAAAGCCUUCAGCCAUCCUUCGAUGACUGAGAACCUCCAUCAGCUCUGUCUCCUGUCUGCCUACAAUUAUUAUAAUAAAUAUUGUGUUUGACAAGUUUUUUGUGCUGCCAAAUAUCUCAUUUUGAUUCCAGUUUUGAUAUUUUAAUGGAUAUUUAUAAAUUACAUUAAUUGAAUUAUAACAAUGCAUGAUUAACUAGCUCUAUUGUGAUGAAUUAAACUAGCACCUCACUGUUAAA